ACCCCUUAUAUCUUUGAUGACAGCGUUCUUGAGGAUCUCAACGUCUUGCUCGUUAGCUCUCUCGUUGGCCAUAUCAGAUGUAGCUUUAGUAGCUUGGCAUCUUGGUCUUUCAAGGUGUUCUAACACAGCUUGGAUUCUCAAAGAAAUAGGCACUCUUUCCAAUCUCCUACUAUUUUGCCUCUUCCAAUCCACAAGAGAGUCUAUAUGGCUAAAAGACAAGGGUUAGUAUGAUGCAUGC
rnacentral:lncRNA from 1 species